rnacentral:lncRNA from 1 species
ACAGCAACUGAAAUAGAAAACCACUGGGUGCACAGUGGGAGGUGAGCGGCCGGAACACAGGCCCUUUUAUGCAGCCUGCGGCCACCGCGAGUGCACUGCCCCCUGCACAGGACCGAGGGGCAUGGGGGACAGUAUGGCCCCAUCUUCCCAACUCAGAUCUCUUCGAAAUAGCCACCCGGCUGGGGUUUCCGGGGUGAAACACUGACACCUGCUGCUUCCAAGCUGGGAGUUAAGUACCCUGCGAGGGGAAGGGGAGCUGUCCUGUCUGCGCCACCACCACCACCACGGCCUGGGGCCCUUCAUCAGUGAGAGCAUCUGAGCAUCCGCCUUCUGCGAGGCGGUUUGGCCCAGACAUCUGAAGCUCGUUAGCGGCCUGCUCCCAGGGGGCUGACUCCGCCUGGAGAGAAAUAUCCCAGCAGAGCCACAGGGGAUGGAGCAAACAAAGACCAGCCACUGUUCUAAACACCAUACGCAGAUUAAAAUGACUUAACCCGAAGUUCCCACUGUGGCUCAGUGGUUAAGAAUCCUACAAGCAUCCAUGAGGAUGUGGGUUCGAUCCCCAGCCUCACUCAGUGGGUUAAGGAUCCGUAGCCUGGGAACUUCCGUGUGCCUUGGGUGUGGCCCUUAAGAGACAAAAAAAGCCUGGAGUCUGGCUCUCAUCUGGACAUCCUGACCUUGACCUUUCUGAAGCUUGGACGGCUGGCUCUGACCACAUCACUCAAGAUCGCUGCCUCCUCCCAAGAUGGUUAUAACGGGACACCAGGCCAUCUCCCAGGCUAUGACAGGGGCACCUUGGUCCCCUCCCAGUCUCCUUCCCUCCUGGGAGUCAGGUCUCGGGGGGGAGGCCUUGCCUGGUGGCCUGGAACCCGAGCAAAGGGCGAGGAGGGCUGGUGCAGAGAACUAUUACACAGACCUCGGCGAAGCCGAACCGUGUGCCCCUCAAGCAGAGUGGCCCCUGCGGGGCUGGGAUGGGCACGGCCCCCAGACAGCUCCUACCUGCUGGGCUGUGCUAGGCGGGCACUCAGCCAAAGUGGGCUUUGCUGAACCUCGGCUUUUCUCUGGACGCCUGCUCCUAGGUUGCUGCAUCCUUCCUUUGGCGGGUGAACACCUCUGAUGACCAAGACUGAUGCAUUUACUUCUCAUGGGGCAACCUUAUUACCGGCAUUGCCAAGACAGGCCCAGAGAUGGAGCCCUGCCGCCCAGGUUCACCGAGCCCGGCCAGGCCUGAGACCACUGGGAUCCCAGACGGAUCCUGAUUAUCUAGGGCACCACCUUCAAAUACGGAAAAUGAAUUCUACAACGGCAGAAACGUUAGCAAAUACAAACAAGCAUGGUCACUUAUGAUGGAGCAUGCGAAUGUGAGAAAAAAGACAUACGCAUGUUUGUGUGCCUGGGUCACCUUGCUGUACGGUAGAAAAGUGACCGAACAUAGUAAACCAGCUACGAUGAAAAAAGUAAAAAUCAUUUAUAAAAAUUAAACUAAAAAAAAUAAAAUUGGAGUUCCUGUCGUGGCGUAGUGGCAACGAAUCCAACUAGGAACCAUGAGGUUGCAGGUUCAAUCUCUGGCCUCGCUCAGUGGGUAAAGGAUCCUGCGGUGCCGUGAGCUGGGGUGUAGGUUGCAGAUGAGGCUCGGAUCCCGAGUUGCUGUGGCUGUGGCGUCAGCUGGUGGCUACAGCUCCGAUUAGACUCCUAGCCUGGGAACCUCCAUAUGUCACAGGUGCGGCCCUAAAAAGCAAAAAAUAAAUAAAAUAAAAUCAAUGUUUCAUAGAAUAAAAAAAAAGAGAAAGAAAAUACAAAUAAGCAAAAGGG